GAUGAACGCUGGCGGCGUGCCUAAUACAUGCAAGUCGAGCGAACGGACGAGAAGCUUGCUUUUCUGAUGUUAGCGGCGGACGGGUGAGUAACACGUGGAUAACCUACCUAUAAGACUGGGAUAACUUCGGGAAACCGGAGCUAAUACCGGAUAAUAUUUUGAACCGCAUGGUUCAAAAGUGAAAGACGGUCUUGCUGUCACUUAUAGAUGGAUCCGCGCUGCAUUAGCUAGUUGGUAAGGUAACGGCUCACCAAGGCAACGAUGCAUAGCCGACCUGAGAGGGUGAUCGGCCACACUGGAACUGAGGCACGGUCCAGACUCCUACGGGAGGCAGCAGUAGGGAAUCUUCCGCAAUGGGCGAAAGCCUGACGGAGCAACGCCGCGUGAGUGAUGAAGGUCUUCGGAUCGUAAAACUCUGUUAUUAGGGAAGAACAUAUGUGUAAGUAACUGUGCACAUCUUGACGGUACCUAAUCAGAAAGCCACGGCUAACUACGUG
rnacentral:rRNA from 1 species